rnacentral:rRNA from 1 species
GACGAGCGCUGGCGGCAUGCUUAACACAUGCAAGUCGAACGGAAAGGCCCUGCUUUUGUGGGGUGCUCGAGUGGCGAACGGGUGAGUAACACGUGAGUAACCUGCCCUUGACUUUGGGAUAACUUCAGGAAACUGGGGCUAAUACCGGAUAGGAGCUCCUGCUGCAUGGUGGGGGUUGGAAAGUUUCGGCGGUUGGGGAUGGACUCGCGGCUUAUCAGCUUGUUGGUGGGGUAGUGGCUUACCAAGGCUUUGACGGGUAGCCGGCCUGAGAGGGUGACCGGCCACAUUGGGACUGAGAUACGGCCCAGACUCCUACGGGAGGCAGCAGUGGGGAAUAUUGCACAAUGGGCGGAAGCCUGAUGCAGCAACGCCGCGUGCGGGAUGACGGCCUUCGGGUUGUAAACCGCUUUCGCCUGUGACGAAGCGUGAGUGACGGUAAUGGGUAAAGAAGCACCGGCUAACUACGUG